rnacentral:rRNA from 1 species
CUGAACAAGCCCGAUCCCAUCUGAUCUCGGAAGCUAAGCAGAGUCGGGCCUGGUUAGUACUUGGAUGGGAGACCACCUAGGAAGACCAGUUGCUGUAGGCG